UUUCUUUCCUUAGCUUUUUCCUUUCCCCCUUAUCCUUCCUUCCCUCCCCUUCCCCCCUCCCUCUUUUCCUUUUCUUUUUAAGAAAUAACAAUCACGAGAUCAUGUUUUCUCGAGGAACAAGCCGUAGUCACGAGGGUUUUCCCCACACGUGUGAGAUAUCCAUGCUGUGUCCCAAAUAUUCUGGGGAGGUUCUGCUGGCGGAGAUGCUGUAAGCGAGGCUGCGUGUGCUGGGGAAGAGGGGGUGGUUGGAAUUAAUAGGAUAAACAAAGCAGGGACUCGGGGAUGGGGAAAUCAGAUGGUUGAGAAACGCUUUGGUAAUGGUGGAGAUGCACUCUGGGAUUUAAACGAGCUGAGUUUCCUUUGGUAAACGUGCAGGUCUGUGAGGUUUGGCAGUUCCUGCUGUGGGUGCUGCUCAGGAGCAGCAGUGGCAGGUGGAGAUCUCAGUCCACUCCUGCCACAUUCUGCCAUGUGAACCCCGUUCUACCCAGGCAGAUGCUGUGGGAGGGGAUCAUUCCUACAGGUUUUUCACAUACAGAUGGAUAAAUGACAAUCUAUUUCUGGGCAGGAAAACCAAAGAACUGUGCUGUCCCCUAUGUACAUGACCACCAAAAAAAUGAAGGUUUUUUUUUUCCCCCAACCAAUAAUUCAAUAAUUUCUAAGCCAGAAAGUGCAUUGUCCAACUUGCAUGCGGUUUGCAAUCUCAUUGACUCAAUGUUUCAUUGUGUGAUUUACUUUGGCCCAUUGCUCUGAGGUCCUUCUAUGGGUUUUCCUGUUGAAGAGUCCCUGAAAAACACACAGAUCACCCUGGGAAACAUCUCCCCAAUACUGGAGCAGAAGGAAGAGUGAAGUGGAUGUGAAAAGAUCUCCCAGAGUGAUGGGGAUGGGAAGGUUUGUGCUUCCCGCUGCCUCGUGCUUUGUGCAAAGGUGAUGUGUUCAGCAGCACAAAAAACAGCAGAUUUCUGCACAUGCUUCCCUCCCAGGCACGCAUGUGCUGAUUGCCAAAUAAUUGACCCAGUUAUGCUAAUAUGCUGUUUGCUUCACUGGAACUUAAUAAAUACAUAUAUAAUCAAUCUUCACACUUUUUCUUGAGCCACGCACCGGUUCGAUCAGCUGCUGCUUCAGUAGUUUUGCUGGCUCCAACCCAAGGAGCAGAGCUCUACCCAUGCUGCAGGGAAGAGGGGGCAGUCCCCUGGGUAGGUGCAAAUGAGGCCACACCAGGGAGCUCUGAGAGCUGAUCUUGCAGGAAUAACUGGGAGCAAAACUGGCUUUGCAGAUCCCAAACGCAGCCUGUGAGUUGUGGACGUGGUCGGUGGAGCUGACGUAUGUAAGUACAGUGACUUUCCCUACCCAGCCAUCAUCCCAGCCUUGUGCAGAUGGAAACUCAGCGAGUUUCUUGUCAUCAAGCCCCCGGUUUCAGUCUGACAAUGGGAACAGCAUCAUCUGUGUCAUGUAUGUUGGAAGCAAUGAAUAGAGAGCUGAGCUCACUCAUCUAUUUGCAUUCUGAAGAUAUGCAAAAAAAACCUGUCUUCUUGCUUACUCUCCUGCCUACUCAAUAUCUGUGAAACAAGGAGGAGAAUAUGGGCUGCCUUGUACUUCUGAUCUCAAUGCCCUUGAAUAAAGGAGCAAUUGCUCAGCGCAGCCUUCUGGGGUGAGUGUGAGUAUCGGAGCUAUGACAGCAACAAAAGCUCUCCAUCAGUGCAGGCUGGUGGGCAAAAGGCAGCUCCUGGAUGAGGAGUGCUCAUCAUCACGGCCACCUUGACUUGGUGUCAUCAGGGCAGCUUCUCCUCUCCACAUCCGAAUCAGCACUUGCAUCUCUAGGGCACGUAGGUCUGACCUGCCAACUGUUAAACGAAUUACAGUGUGCUCCCCCCAGACUAUUAGCAUGGAACAGCACACGUCCACAGGAGAGACAGGCUGAGGACGCAGCAGUUCUAAGAACAACGAGCCAUAGGAGACUUUCCUUCUGGAUGAAGCUGAAUGAAUUGGCAUUGGGGCUGUGACUCCACACUCGGGGUUUGCCUCAUCACUCAGCAGCUCAUGGAUUAUCUUCUUUCUAAUUUGAACAGCCACUUCUCCUCCAGGUUAUAACCAUCUGAAGCAGCAGAAGCGUGAUCCAGACCAGGCUUUAAGGGCUGGAAUUUACAUGCUUUUUUUCCUUAUGCUUUCUGGUAUUAAUUUUAUAUGCGGUGGGAAAGUAAUAUCCUGUCUGUCACUGCAGAGGAAGGGCUGUGCGUGCGUCUAUGCACAGUCACUGCUAACUGUUGAGCUCUUUCACUCCAAUUUCAGUUUUUGUGAAGAUUUCUAAACUAAAGCAAAAAUCAGCUGCAGAAAUGAUGAAUGUGAGCUACCAGCAAGGCAAAAUCAGGAGAUGUUUUCUCUUGUUUUCGUAACUCGUGGUCUUUGUGUGUAAGAGUGGAUUGCAUGGCAACUGCAUUCACACUUCUCUUUAAUAAAAGAUCCUAGCAGAUGGACCCACUAUUAACGUGUAUCCCCCAGAUUUGCAUAUUUCGUAUUCAUGCCAAGAUGGCACUGAGCAAACAUGGGAUGAACAAGGCCGAUACCAACACAACUGCACCAGAUUGAUGCUGCCAUCGCAGGGCAUCGUCCCAGCACCCCUGUUAGGAAUCUAGUCUGGUAUGAGUUAUUAAUUUUGUUCAGCUCCUCCUGGAGUCAAAUUAAGGUCUUCCCAAUACAAUUGGACAGGGCUCUUAGGUACUACCAGUUGAUGAAUAUGUAAUAAAUCCCGAGAGAGAGGGCAAGGAAACAGCAUUUGCAUCUAAACUGUAAAGAAUCCUGUGCUGGAAGUGUGUGGAGCUCCAGGUUUGGUGCAGCGUGUCGGCUAAUUGGGGCUCACUUGAAAUUCAGCUCUUAUCCAAGAUCAGGAUCUGAGUAUCUCAAAAUUCCAUUACAAUCAAAUCUAGUUGGAAGACAAGCCUAUCUGUAAUAUCUCAUCAAACAUUAGGCAUUACAACGUGGCAUUCCGGAGCCCAAAAUGUAUUUGAUCCCAUUGUUCCAGACCAUUAAUCCAACACGGUGCUGCACAUACUAAUAGGAUCAAAUAUUUAUGAAUGAGCAUUGUUUUGACUGCAAAGAUUGAACACAGCAGGCUUUAAAUACACAAGAUCCUGAAAAGGGAAACUUUAUUAUCUCCCAUAUAUCUGGUGCCAAAUUCGGAGAUAAUUUUAAAUGCGUCUUAGGUAGUUGGUGCUUGAGUAAUUUACACCUUCUUCCAACUCCCUUCAGGGUGUAAAUUACACCUGCUCCCACCUAUAUUGGGUCUGACCCAUUGCACCAAGGAUAGUAAUGAAAUCAUGUAGCACCAGAUAAUGCACUUUCUGUCGUUGCAGGAGGGAGGCAGAGGGAUCAUGUGCAGGCAGAGCAGUGGUGCUAAGGGUUAACAGUGCUUGAAAGUAAGGUGGCCUCUAUGAGGUGCUGUGCUCUGUGAGUGCAGUCCUGGGUGGAAAUAAACCAUUGCUCACCCACAUGGGCUCUUGUGCUGUGCUAUUUCAU